CAAUCACUGUCACUCUACCCCCCCCCCCCCGCUUCUCCUCCUUUCUCCUGCUAGUGUCCUGUGAUCCUGUUAGUAUGAGACGCAUCGGCUUCAGCUUCAAUACAAUACGCAAGUCAAAGAAAUUCAAAGCCGAUGGAAGCAUAUCAGAGAUUGCUUUCGUAGGGAAGUGGCUACCCAGAAGGCAGAGACACAAAGUGGUGCAUCGCCAUCAAAAAGAAAGAAGUAUAUUUAUGCUGAACAAUUAAAUUUCUAUAACCUGCUUUUGCUAAGAGACAAACUUCUAGCAAUCUUGAUAUUGUGCAGGACAAAGAGAUUGUAACAGAAACUGCUUCUUCGGACCAACUACCAAAUACCAGCACUGUUACCCCACCUGGCACUUCUGGCAACACAGAGACCCCACCAGCACAAGCAUCUCGAGUAUCUCGGGCAGCAAAAAGAAAAAAAAAACAACAUUUCAUCUGGCGAAGUUUACAUACUUCUGUACAUCUAGUAUCUGCUGACGCUCUGAAUUCUGUCAGUAGCUUACAAAGUGAACUCUCAUCAUGGGGUGUCAUUUAUAAGAGAAUUAAUAAAUGGGGGAACAUCACCCCUCCCUAUA